GCUCCGGUUGCCUAUAGGUAAGAGCGUCCGCCCUAAAUGCGGAAGGUCGUGGGUUCGAUCCCCAGUAGAGGCA